CCCUUAGAUGUUCUGGGCCGCACGCGUGCUACACUGAGUGGAUCAGCGGGUCAGGUUGCGCGAAAGCGUUUCCUAAUCUUUAAAUCCGCUCGUGAUGGGGAUUGACGGUUGCAAUUUUCUGUCAUGAACGAGGAAUACCUUGUAAGCGCGGGUCAUCAUCCCGCGCUGAAUACGUCCCUGCCCUUUGUACACACCGCCCGUCGCUCCUACCGAUUGAAUGGCUUAGUGAGCUUUCUGGACUGUUGCACUUCGUUGGAAACUUCGUUGUGCAUACGGGAAGGAAAUCAAACUUGAUCAUUUAGAGGAAGUAAAAGUCGUAACA
rnacentral:rRNA from 1 species